CCAUGCAACCGGGGAGUUAGCGGCGCCCUGUACCUGCAAUCCGCUAUAGCAGGGGUGAUGGUCUUUCAGAGGGGUGGCUGCUGUAGGGCUGCCCUCAGUAAGUGGUGUUGAUGUUUGGGUCUCGCGCAACAGGAAUCUCUGAACCGUGUCAGGUCGGAGACGAAGCAGCACUAAGGGGAAUCUCCUGUGUGCCGUGAGGGUGCCUGGACUGAGCUAACUGCUGAGGUAACGUCUAUGGUGACGCUUCGAAGAAAGACCGCAUGG
rfam:Coprococcus eutactus CAG:665 genomic scaffold, scf259